rnacentral:lncRNA from 1 species
CAGUGUGUGGAAUGAUGUUUUGUUUAAUCAUGGUCGUUGUAUACGUUGUAAUCGCAACAUGUAUUUCUGUGAUUAAAUUUGACAAAGGUAAGUUUACACUCAUUUAUUUUUCAAUUCUAUACAUUGAUUUUGAGUAACAUACUAUAUGCACUAAGCGAUAAGUUAUGCUAAUUAUGUUUUAAACAACUGUUUUUUGCUGUAAAAACAAUACUAAGAAAUUGAAAAAAAGUAUUGUACAUUCAUUUGAAUUAGGUUGAAUUUCGACCGAGCAACAAACAUUUGAAUCACAAAAUUCAGAAUUCUAUGAACCAAAAUAAUGCGUUUGAGGUAGUUGCUUGAUAUUGAUAUACCAAAUUAAAUCUCUACGAGAUAUAUUUAGGUUAUAACAAGGUGUAUGUUUAAACAAUUGAUAGUUUCAAAUAAGCAAUUUGGGAUGUGUAUAUUCUGUUCCAUAGUUAAAAAUUAAAAAUUCAAUUUCGUCUACCAUCUAUACAUAGACUAGUUGAACUAAGAUUCGUGAAAAAUUUUGCUGUUCCGUAUUUCUGUUUUUCCUUCCAACUACAUGUAUAUUGAUUCGUUCAAUGUCCAAGAAAUACGUGUCUAGUUUACUAAAUUAUAAACCUGUUGCUAGUGCUAAGUCUUUCAACCCUUCGGAUGUUAAGCUACGUUGCCGUUCUGUGAUUUCAUUAAAUGAUUUCUUCUUUGUGCAGAUCAAAUGCGAUACUCACUUUUCAUCUGAUUGUUGCCGUUUGGUCUUGCAUACUGUGAAAGUAUUAUUAUUCGCGGGGAACCAAUUUUCGUGUUUUUCGUUGAUGAAUAUAUAUCCACGAAUUUAAGUGUCCAACGAAAUAAAACAAACAUUGUCCAAAUCAAGACAUGGAAAGAUCCCAUGUAGGUUUGACUACUGAUUUGAUCUAGAGAAUAUAUUGAAUAACGCCAAAUCUGAAAAUGCUAUAUAGUAGUCAUAGGGCAAACGCGCUAUGAACUACAACUCCAUGAAGUAGUAUACCCAUUUAAUCUUUCAGAACAUUAACUGUACAACUUUUGAUUUUUUAAUUCUCAUAAAAAAUAUUUUUGAUCGAUGAAAGUCAAAUUCCCGGUAUUGAUAUGCUAGCAUUAUACAGUGUUCAUUUUAUAUCCUUAUAGUUCUCGUACAUAUGGAAAAUAACAAUUUUAUGCUGGGCUUGAUUUUGAUUAGAACUAUUUAACAACUCAAGAUACGUUAAUAGCAUUUGUAUAUGUUACUGUUUUCUUUAGAUGACAUGUUUAUGGCUUAAUUAACACCUUUGAUGGUCUUUAAUCUGUUGAUCACUUUAUUUAGGGUCAAUUAGUGUGGUCACUACGAUUUACACUGGUCAAUGUUUACUUUGCAAUUUCCUUCAAUCCAGACAAUUUUCAACCUUCGUUUCUACUGGCUAAAAGUAUCCAAAAUUUUUUUUUAGAUUAAACUAAAAUCCACGAAUUUAAAAACCCACGAACAUGUAAAUGUUGAUCAAACCACGAAAACUGAUACCCACGAAUUAAAGUACUUUCACAGUAUAUGUUGUACAGCUACACCAAUAACCCAGGAAACGGGGAGGGAUUGGCGCCAUGAUCGGGAAUGAAAACGCAAAUACCUUUUGUUUGGUUAUUUUUUUUUUAACUUGCCCCAUGCGGAAAAUAAAUGGGCGCCAUAAUUUUCUCCAAAACUACGAAUCAGUUUUCGGACAUUUGUUCUUUUUCUUGAACAUGUUGAUGUUAUAUACUUGAUGGUUCAUUUAAACAUUCAUUAUUUCAAAAUUUCUAAUUAGAAAGUGCUUAUAAAUUCUAACACAUAAUGAAUCAUACAUGUUAAGGUGCAUCACAGUUCUUAAUAUUUACACAAACCUGGGGCUAUGCAAAAAAGCAUAUUCCAACUUUUAUCCCUAAAAAUUUAUAAUCAGUUUUAUUACCUUUUUAUCAAAAAAACAAAAUCAGGACUUUUCAUUUCUGAUAAAAAAAAAUCAAAUAUUUUUAUUAUCAUCAUCAUAAUCAUUAUUAUUAUCAUUGUUCAUGUUAUUUUCACUGUUAUGAAUACGAAUGUAAAUAUAACAUGCAGAUCUAAAAGCUGGUCUUUUUGUUGUGUGUUUGGUAACGGGAACAACAAUAUUCAGCUCUUUUCCUGUAAUAUGGACUUCAAAAAAGCGUAAGUUCAAAUGAAUAUAAGAAUGUUCAUACAAAUUACUGCACCUACACACUAUUUCAAGUACAACAAUGUAAAAUGUAUUUGAUAUUUUCAAUUUCGUCGAGAGCGAUUCGUCCCAGAACAAUUGUUCGUUUUGUAUGCCAUAAGAAAUUGCAACUAUCAUUACAUUAUGGCAUUGCCCUAUAUGUGUUCAUUUUUGCAAGAUGUCAGAUUAUUUAACCGUCAAAAAUGGGUACGCACUCCGAUCUCGAUGUAUUUUAUUACAGGUAUAUAGUAAUAGAAACAAAAAACAUUAUCUGCGUUGGUAUUUUGUUCAUGAGAAACUUAGCGAUUUUUUUAAGAUGUCGUGUCAUAUAUCCGCUCAUUACGAGAACACUUGCUACGUCCUUCGAUGAAUUAUUUUGAUUAAACAGUUGUUUCGUUUUGCUAACAUUUAGCUGCAUGAAACUUUGCAUGUUUUUCUUAAGUAAGACUACCCAAGUAUAUCAGCUUCAUUCAAUUUUGUCUAGCAAGGCUUCGUUGGAUGAACAAAGGCAACAUUAGUAUACCGGGUACAAAAGUAAAAAAUCGAUGGAGAGAAAACUGUGUUGGUUACAAACUUAAACCGAGUGAAACAUAUUACCUAUAAUAAGAGGAAAAUAAAGUAGCAUCAUUUGUCAUUUUGCUUUUAUGUUUUCAUGUCUGUUCAUAAAAUUUUAAAUUAUCCUAGGACUUUCUGUUUACUUUUGUUUUUUUCUUAUUUUGUCGAAAUUGAAAAUUUCCAUUGCGUUUAACCUACAACAAACUAUUUUUUUUAUAUUUCUAAUUUGAUGAAAGAUAGAAAGAUAGAGAAUAUCAUUUGUGCAACUCUAUUGAGAAAACUUAAAACGAUUAUAAAAUACUUAACGCCUGUAAAUUCUGACAAUUAUAUGUGGAUGUAACAAAAAAAUAUCCCAAUAUAAUCAGCUGUUGACAAUGGAUUGAUCUAAUCAGUAAGUUGCAUGCCGAGUUAAUAAUAAUGUAUUAAAAAUUCAAGAUAAAUUAGUUUUCCGACGACAACAAAAUACUUAACGGUUCAAUUAAUCAUACCACUAACCAUUUUUUAGUUGGUUUGAUUGGUCUGUUAAUUUUGAAAAAUUGUUUCACAGAAAAAAUACAAAUUUAUUGUUUAUAGAGCUCGUAAUGUUAGAAAUGAUCCAUGUAAACGUAGUGAUUGAAUGCAACCAACUUACUAACAAUAAUAACGAAAUGCAAUUAUUUCAUUUGAAAUUCAAGAGGAGUUAUAAGUGUUCAUAUGUUUAUCCUAUUGUUUAUGUUGAUACUAUAAAUGUGUUGAAGAUUAUUUAUAUUUUUGUUUUAUUUUUCCAACUUUUAAACAUUGAAGUCAUAAAGGUUAAAAGUCUUAAUGAAAACUAUUUAAACACGUUUUGUUUUCAGUUCCGGACUUAAAAGUUGAAACAGAGAAAUUGGUUGUGCCUAAUCAAUCAACAUCUGCAGACAGUCAUUCAGAGAGCAGGGAACCGGCGGAAUAACCAGACACUUGAAGGUAAUUCCAUAUUUAAAGACAACACAUUUAAAGUGCUAUCGAAUCUUAUAAAUCCAUGGUAUGAUAACAAAGACGGGCUAUCAUUAUCUUCCAAAACGUUGAAUAGCUUUACUCAGAUCUGUUGCAAUUUGUUUUCAGAAAAGUAAUCUUCGUGUCAACAUUGAUAUAUUCUAUACGCACUUCAAACAUUUCUAUGCAAUAUAUUCUCAACUAAUCAUUAUUAAUUCGGGUCCUCAAUGCUCGUCAUCUUUGUACUUAUUUGGCUUUAUCAAUAUUUUGAUCUGAGCGUUAAUGAUUAGUCUUAUGCACUAAAUUAUAAUCCUGGUACCUUGGAUAACUUAUAACGUUUGCAACAGGAAUGGUAAUUUUUCCACUGAUCUUCUAGUUAGUUAAAUUCAGUGAUUUUCAGAGGAGUGUGUAACUGAAAGAUUUUAUUUAUUGUAACCGCGCCGUUACAUAGCGACGGAGGAGCUCAAACUAGUGAUUUAACUUCCAUCUCAAAAGUUGUUAAUGCACGGUAUGGAUCCGUCUCCCUACUACAUUCUAUUGAUUAAUUUUUGACCAUUCAACAUUAAAAGAGUGUAAACAUAUAUUUGUCGCUUUGUACAUUCAAAUACUUUUAGUAAACAAUAAAAGACUAACACAAAAUGAAAUAGAAAUGACAACAUAUUUUGCUUGGAUACUAGUUUUAACGUUAACGUGUCGACUUAAAAAUUGUUUAUUAAAAAAAGUCAAUUAAUGUGUAUAGUAAUUUUCUUUAUUUUAUAAACGUCAAUUUCCGUGCAUUGAUUAUGCUUCAACCAUGUGUCUCUGACUUUACUCAAAUUUAACACGCAACCAAUUAACCGAUCUUUCCAAGUUCUUGGGAAUGAAAUGUGAAUAUUAAUUACUUUCAUAUUUGGUAUUGGGUAAUGUUUCCUUUUAUUGCAACGUCAUCGGAGACUUCGCGUUUUUUUUUUUUUUAGAUAUAAGGGUAAAAAAACAUUGAAUGUUAUUUUGCAUUACACAGGUUACGAAUGAUAGUUUUUGGUUACUUUAUUUUACGCUAUAUGAGGUUUGUUUCGUCUUAUCAAUAUUCAGAUCGGUAUUCAAAUAGGUCAAUCUUGCAUGGGAUAUCGUUCAAUAUCACAGCUGAAAUUAUAUUCUUGGUACAAAUUUAGACUUGUAGUAUGAUAAACAAUGAGACUAUCCAAAAGGGCCUAAAAACGUUAAAGCAUAUGUUCUUUUGUAGUGACGAUUCACCCAGCAAAUGGAUGAUAAGGAUUUUAAAAACUAGGAUGCAUAUUGUUAUCUUUCGCAAAAUAAAGUGUCUCGGUACAAGUGCGAAAGGUUGAAGCUAACAAAUGUAAAGUUAAUAUGAACAUCAGAUCAAAGGUUAUCAGAUUUUUUUUACCAUGAAUUGAUAGAAUCCACUUCAUCGUUUAUAACUCUAAGAAAAUUGCACAAAUUCAUAAGCCAAGGAUGUAUUCAUAAAAUCCAUUAAUAGAAGAAUCUUACAAUAUUCUGUGAACUAUUUGUCUACGUGUUCAUUUCUUUAAUGUCUGUUGUUAAAAAAAUGCAUUUGAGGAGAGAAUGUAUUCAUUACCAUUAUCGUCAUCUUUACAUAAAAGAUAAGUCAGAUUUUCUCUUUGGAUAUUAGAGUACAUAUGUACAGAAUGUAACCACAUCUUUGUCGCUUAGUACAUCCAAACACUUUUAAGUUUUGCAAGUCCCACAUUAGUCAUUAAUUCAUAACUAAUUGAGCACUAUUUUCUCUCUUUACCGUUUAAGGUAGCACUACAGUUAGAUUCCAAUCAGCAGUCCUUAAAGAUUAAUUCCUCCAAAACUACUCAAUGGAUUUAUAAAAUUUCUAUCUCAUUUUAAAGCUGAAAUAUAAUUAUUUCUUAAUUUAUAGAUAAAUUUAUUUUUGGUAUGAUUAAUCACAAAAUAUAGCUCAUUAAUUGCCAAAAAAGUGGUCUUCCAACUUGAUUAAAAAUGGCACAUUCAUGUCAAAUGGUUGUAAAAAUUUGUUUUUAUCCCUUUAAUCAACCAUAUACAAUCUACAAAACCAUGUCUUAGAUUCUUGAUAUAUGCCUCCAGUAAGAAGACAUAUUAAUUUAACUGAUGGGUGCCAAACCUCAUUUCACCUUUUAUCUUUGAAGACCUAUAAAUUCAUUUAGAAACAAAUUAUCGAAAAACUCGAACAUUUUAUUGUAGAAAAUACAUCCUUUAAUCAAAUAUAUCAAAUUCAAGCCAAAGGGGUACACAUAAAAUUUAUUUUUCCCUUACAAUUCUCAUGAAAAAAUGUUCUGAGAAAUUACCUUAAAACAGAAUUUUCUCCUUAAAAUCCCUAUAAAUUUAAUAUAAAUACAAAAAAUUCCACUGGGAACACACCAGGAGUGUUUUGAUACCAUGACUAUAUCAAAAGAACCGCACACUUUGUGUCUUUGAUGCUCUAAUGCUGUAAAUUUUUCAAUAUAUGUGAACUGUCCAACACUAACUUGGUAUUUGGCGGGAGUUUGACGUCAUAGAUUUGACCAACAUCUGUGAUGUAGUCAUGUUAACCCCGCCGCAUUUUUGCGUCUGUUCCAAGUCAGGAGCCACUGGCCUUUGUUAGUCUUGUAUUAUUUUAAUUUUAGUUUCUUGUGUACAAUUUGGAAAUUAGUAUGGCGUUCAUUAUCACUGAACUAGUAUAUAUUUGUUUAGGGGCCAGCUGAAGGACGCCUCCGGGUGCGGGAAUUUCUCGCUACAUUGAAGACCUAUUGGUGACCUUCUGCUGUUGUUUUUUCUAUGGUCGGGUUGUUGUCUCUGUGACACAUUCCCCAUUUCCAUUCUCAAUUUUAUUUAAUAUAUGCAACUGGGCGUUUAACACCAAUCCAUCAUCAAUCCGUAAAUGACCAAGAGAGAGCAAACGUUCACGUGGUAUAGAAAAAAUCAUUUUCAUUUGAAUUUAAAAAAAGAUAUAAACUAUGUCUGAAAUUAGCUAGAACAUCAAAAGAGGGACGAAAGAUACCAAAGGGACAGUCAAACUCAUAAAUCUAAAAGAACCUGACAACGCCAUGGCUAAAAAUGAAAAAGACAAACAAAAAAAAAACCAUAGUACACAUGACACAACAUAGAAAACUAAAGAAUAAACACCACGAACCCCACAAAAAACUAGGGGUGAUCUCAGGUGCUCCGGAAGGGUAAGCAGAUCCUGCUCCACAUGUGGCACCCGUCGUGUUGCUUAUGUGAUUACAAAUCCGGUAAAUCGUCUAAUUCGGUAGGUCACAUUCAUGAAAGGGAAGGGGAUUGUAGUUACGACGUGAGGAACAUAUCUGAUAUCAUUUGUGAAACGGUUAUUCCAUAACGGUCAACCAACUCGUGAUGGCGUCCGUAAAAUUUACGAAGGGAUGAUUUCAACUUCACCACUUAGAACUCUUGGUUUAAUAGCUUCCUUGUGAGCAGUAACCCUCUAUCAAGAAAAUCAUGAUAGGAAAUGCAAGCACGGGAAUAUCGUAUCAAUUGGGAGAUAUAUACCCCGUAUGCAGGUGCUGCUGGAAUGUUGCUACUUAGAAAUGGAAAGUUCACAAUUGGAAAGCUGAAAUCAUCUCUUUUGUCGUAAAGUUUUGUUUUCAACCGACCCUCAUUGUCAAUUUCUAGAUGUAAAUCAAGAUAUGAAGCCGACUUAACUGUAUCUGUAGUAUCCUUUAUCUCCAAUUCGAUGAGAUAGAUGCGUUCCACAUAGUCACCAAAUUUUGAAUUGUUUAGUGAAAGAACGUCAUCUAUAUAGCGGAAAGUAGAGUUAAAGGAUAUUGCUAACUUCUUAUCUUUCUUCCUAAGAAGUUCCUGCAUGAAGCCAGCCUCAUAAUAAUAAAGAAACAAGUCGGCAAGUAGAGGGGCACAGUUUGUUCCCAUGGGGAUGCCGACAGUCUGUUGAAAAACACUUCCUCCGAACGUUACAAAUAUGUUGUCAAUCAAGAAAUCAAGCAUCUUGAUAUAUAUCGGUUUCAGAGAAUUUUUUGUUUGAAUCAGAGUGAUUCUUUACAAAGUAUGAUUUAUCCCUCCCUAAGACAAGAUACUUGUAUCUACGUUGGCCAUUCUUUUUUAUGAAACAAAGUAAUACCAACUCUUUCAGUUUGUCUUUUAGUUUGGAAUGUGGAAUACUUGUGUAAAGAGUAGAAAAGUCAAAUGUUUUAAUACUGUUACAAGAUGAAAGAGAGUUAGAUUGUAUGUACUCUAAAAGAUCUUUGGAAUUUGAAGUAUCCACAUCUGAUUCACGCCACCUCUAGAAUAGGCAGUUUCACAAUAACUUUGAAGCCCGUCUUUGAUUGCUGAUAAAAUAGAUGUUAAUAAUUUAGAAAGAGGUUUCGUGGAGCACUUGGAAGACCCAGCAAUAUACCGUUGUUUGUAAGGACACCUGUGUAGUUUAGGUAUCCAAUACAAUGAUGGAAGAUCCAGUUCUUCAUCUUUGAUUGAAAUACCAAAGAAACAAAGAACAGACCUAUGAUUAUCCAGGAUUUCCUCUUUGGUAAGUGUCGUGAGGGUAUAUGUUGAGUUUCCAAGUGAAUUGUCUAUACCUAAUUCGUUUAUCAAGCAAUUAAUGUAGUGACUUUUACAGACAAAAACGAUGUUAUUUGGGGCUUUGUCUGCGGGACAACAACAUAUUUAUCAUGGAGGUCGGAUAAGUGUUUAGCAACAUUUGGGUCUUUAAAGAUUGACGUAGCAUGGGCAUUGAUGGACUCAUUAAGUUUCUUGAUUCUGAUUUGUAUUAACGACCUCACUGCCUUAAUCCAUUCGGAUAGAGUGUCUACGUCAUCCUUUUCACGUUUAGCCCAUUGCCUGGCAUAAUCCUCGACUGAGUCCAUCAAAACUUUAAAGUUGUAUUUCCAAUUGAUGGAUUUAGGCUAACGAUAUUUCGGACCAAAAGUGUGCAUCAAAAACAUGUUCAUAAAAAGAUCAAGACCACCCUCUUCUUAUAAAUACACUUUCCCACGGGAUUUUUUAAUUUAAUGGAACUGAAAAGUUACACAUACACUUAAAAUUAGUUGAAAUGCAUAAAACUGUAUUUAAAUGAAGAAACCAAAGAGAAGAAAUUUAUACAAGCAGUCAAAAGAUACUUUCCAACUCUUAUCCAUGGUUUUUUUUUUUUGUACUUUUUUUCUAUUUAGAUUUUUUCUUUUUCUCUAUUUUUCUUCCAUGUUAUUUGAAUUAUUUUAUUUGACCAUAUUUAUCUUGUGGUGAGGGAUUAACAGCUGGACACUGGUAUCAACAGAUGAUUGACAUAUUAGCCCCUCCCAAAUGCCUAUAUAUUUAGAUUAAUUACCAUGUGCUUUUAUUUACAUAAGUUCAUUAUCAAUUUACUCCCUGUUGUGAUAUGAUAAUGACUUUGGGAUUUUUACAAACUGUGCAGAAUAAUUCUUACUUCAAAAUUAUGUGAUAAAAAAAAUAUCUUCAAAAAAUCAUUGUUAGACUGUAGUGCUACCUUAACAAUAUUUCCGAUACAAUGGAUAUCUGACUAACUCCCCAACAAUCAAAUCGUGCAGUAUGAUUAUAAAAUGUUCGUUAAAUUUUAUCAAGAAUAUUGUUGACACCUAAUACCCAUAUUUCACAACCAUAAAGAAGAAACGGUUUUACUAAUAUGUCAAAAAGGAUCAUUUCAUAUCUAACUGAAAAGUGGUGGUAACGCCUCCUUUUCAGUAACAAAUACAUGGUUUUAGUAGCCUUUUCAGCAAGCUGUAAUUAACAAGUCUUAAAGGGGCACAAGCUGCAAAAUUCAUGUUCACCGAUUUAACUCAAAUUCUCAUAUAUUAUUAAUAACAAUGUAAAACAUUUUUCCAAACUAUCAAAAAUAUCAAAUAAACAAUCUACAGGACAUGGUCUCAAUAAGAUGUUGCUUCGUUUCGAGUGCAAUUUAGCAAAGACGCCAUCUAAUUCGCUAGUAUGACCAUAUAAGCGAUGUAAACAUAAACACAGAUAUAAAUAGAUUAAGCAACUCGUGCAAUUGGAUUUUUAUAGGUCUGUUAAAUUUUGUAUUAUAGAUAAAAAAAAUAUUUAUAUUUAUAAAAUUAUAAAAUUUUAUCGGCGUUUUUACCUUGAUAAGAAUGAUUGUGUGUGGAUCGAAUCAGUUAAUCAAACUAUUUGCCUUUGUUUCACUUUCAAUGUUGACAUUCUGUUCCUUUAAAUACCCGUACACGGACAAUGCAUGCGUUAUUAUAUCACUUUCUACGGGGUUAAAUUGGAGUUCACAUGAAUGUGGAUUUAAUGAGCUCGAAUUAUUCACUUGCAAGUGAAUAACUCAUUAUCAAUAUUUAUUAGCUUAAUUUGACAAAAUUGAACCAUUUUAGUUGAUAAAAGCAAAUUAUCAUUUCACUUUAUCACUUUCAUUAAUGAUUGAACAAAAAAAUCAUACUUUUGAUUUUUUAUAUAUCUCGUAUCUAGUGCCCCUUAAAAAUUUCCAAUUCUUUAAAAAAAAUACUGAAAAACCUUUACGAUAUAUAUAUUUAGUUAAUGUCACGAAACUUUAAAUUCUAUGAAAGCCGACCUUGAGGAAAUACCAUAACUUUCGUUUUGUUGACAUUGACUCUCGAUAUUCAUUUUUAACACUAAUUUCUAAAUUUUAUUAAUAAGUCUUGUAGAUCAAUUGUUGUCUCAGCAAUACGCAGUGUCAUCUGCAUACAUAAUAACACAUAACUUCAGCAAUAUAUCUUAUCUAUUUGCAAUGUCACUGCUCAAUGCUUAAAGACGAGUGAUAUUCUGGCGCUCAGAAAAUCUUAAUAUAAACCUUUGUCUUUGUUCCGUUUCAUCGAUGAUUUUGGCAUGAAAUGGAUUGAAACAAAAGCUUUAUGAUUUAUCAAAUAUGCAAACCACGUUCAUCAGUCAAUAUCAUUCACACAUGAAAUUUCCAACUAUGAAAUAUGUGUCUUGGACAAAAUUACAGCUAUAAAAGAUGGUGUAAUGUCAAUAGACAUUUUCUGCAAACCUACAAGUAAACAUUAGUACCUUUCUUUCAAAAACUGUCAUCCUAAACACUACACAAAAGUAUCCUGUACAGUCAAGCUCUUAGAGUAAAGCGGAUUUGCUCCUACUAAACGGUUACGGGAAAUUCCAGGAUUUUUGACCAACUGACGUAAUAAGAAAUGGGACAUUGAUAAGGAUACUGAGUGCAGAAAAAUUACAGUUGCAAAGUGCCUAUUACAGUACAAACAGAAAAGGCGACGCGAAAUAGUUCCGUUUGAUUUAACAUACAAUCCUACUUUUACUGACCUUUCCCAUCUCAUCAGUGCCAAUAGGCAUAAUGUUGUCUAACAUCCACAAUUAUUCAAGAUCUUUCCAAAAAAACUGCAAGACUUACUUCUGAAAGUUGAUGUCUCCUCGAAUAAAAUAUUUUCAACACACAGGAUGAUACAAGUCGUGUGAUAAAAGAUAAUGUCUGACUUGUCAACAAAUACAGAACGCUCAAACAUUUUCUUGCAACAACACAGGGUCUGUAUACACUAUAUAUUAAAAAUGUAACUUGCUAAACCAACAAUGUUGCAUACCUUUUCCUGUGUCGAUGUUACAUGUUGUAUUUUUGCGAGACAGAACAGUCAUUCAACAACCGCAGUGUUAAGGAAAGUAUUCCUUCCCCAAACAUCAAUGUUGAAAAAUUUUCCAGCGUUUCGAUUUGUGAUAACUUGUAUGACGAUCAAGAUUAUUAUUUAAGUUCGACUACCACGUGUCAAGAUUAUUUUCAAGAGUUAUUUGACAUCUUUCUGACGAAGGGUAUAAUUCUUUCCCGAAAAUUUUAAUAUUUGUUCAUGAUUUUACUAUUUUUUUGUUGUUGUUGUACCUUGUUAAAUAUGUCUCUAUUGUUUCUAUUCUAAAAAAAAAACACAGAUAAUAAAUGCUCUUGAAAUUAUCCUAUUUCUUCUUCUUUUCCAGAUGUAAACCUGUUCCGACUUGCAG